rnacentral:rRNA from 1 species
GACAGAGGGUGCAAACGUUGCUCGGAAUUACUGGGCGUAAAGCGCGUGUAGGCGGGUCGGUGGGUCGGGGGUGAAAUCCCCAGGCUCAACCUGGGAACUGCAUUCGAAACUACCGGCCUAGAGUGGUGGAGAGGGAAGUGGAAUUCCUGGUGUAGAGGUGAAAUUCGUAGAUAUCAGGAGGAACACCAGUGGCGAAGGCGGCUUCCUGGACACCAACUGACGCUGAGACGCGAAAGCGUGGGGAGCAAACAGG